UUAUCCUACGGGAGGCAGCAGUGGGGAAUAUUGCACAAUGGGGGGAACCCUGAUGCAGCGACGCCGCGUGAGUGAAGAAGUAUUUCGGUAUGUAAAGCUCUAUCAGCAGGGAAGAAAAUGACGGUACCUGACUAAGAAGCCCCGGCUAACUACGUGCCAGCAGCCGCGGUAAUACGUAGGGAGCAAGCGUUAUCCGGAUUUACUGGGUGUAAAGGGAGCGUAGACGGUUAUGCAAGUCUGAAGUGAAAGCACAAGGCUCAACCAUGGGACUGCUUUGGAAACUGUAGAACUGGAGGGCAGGGGAG
rnacentral:rRNA from 1 species